CGCGUAACGGCGGCGGCGGCGGGGGUCCCGUCGGGUUGGAGGCGGCCGUGUGCGCGCAGCCGGCUCUCGGUUGGGUUAAGGGAGCCCACCGCAGUGCGGUCGCUUGUGUGCGCUGCGCGGUACAGAAGCGCGCAGAUACGUUCUCCUGUAGCUACCGGGCUCCUUCUCCGGGGCUGCUGCGCUCAGAGCGUGCGCGGACGUUGCGCACCUCAUGAGUUGGUUCAGAUGCGCGCAGUCCCGCGGCUGCUACGGCCCGCACAGCGGCGGCUUUGCGAGCGCCUUUUAACAGGAGCUUAGGCCGCUUCUCAGCGCUGUGGAGGUGAAGGGCCUUCCCCGGCUUCCCCUUCCAGCCGUACCUCGGGCCGCUGUGUCCCAACGCCUGCGCCCUGCUGUCUGCAGGCUGUCUGUCACCGCUCGGUAUUACUGCGGGCGCUUCUGAAAGGCAGGCAGGCAGGCAGGCGGCGCGGAGGGGCGGGUCGGUCAAUCGCCUUAAACGCAGCCUCCUAAUUAACGAUGUUCGACUGCCCUCGUUUCACAGAUCCACGAGCUGCUGUGUUUGUGAGGCGGUGUUUAAGCUGAAUUGUAGAAUAUCCUGAGUUGGAAGAGACCCCCAAGGAUCAUAAGAUCGUAGGAUCAUAGAAUGGCCUGGGUUGAAAAGGACCACAAUGACCAUCGAGUUUCAACCCCCUGCUAUGUGC
ensembl:lncRNA